rnacentral:rRNA from 1 species
GACGAACGCUGGCGGCGUGCUUAACACAUGCAAGUCGAACGGGCCUGUCUUCUUUUUUGGGGGUGGGUUGAGUGGCGAACGGGUGAGUAUCACGUGAGUAACCUGCCCUUCGGUCCUGGAUAACCGCUUGAAAGGGCGGCUAAUACGGGGUGGUCCGGUUGGUCCGCAUGGGCUGGUCGGGAUAGAUUCACUGUUUUUGGUGUUUCGGCGGGGGAUGGGCUCGCGGCCUAUCAGCUUGUUGGUGGGGUGAUGGCCUACCAAGGCGGUGACGGGUAGCCGGCAUGAGAGGGUGGGCGGCCACACUGGGACUGGGAUACGGCCCAGACUCCUGCGGGAGGCAGCAGUGGGGGGUAUUGCACAAUGGGCGGAAGCCUGAUGCAGCGACGUCGCGUGAGGGAUGGAGGCCUUCGGGUUGUGAACCUCUGUUUCCGGUGGUGAAGGCCCUGUCCGUGUGGUGGGGUUGACGGUAGCCGGGGAUGAAGCGCCGGCUAACUACGUG